UGCUGUCUGACGAGCUGCAGCACAAGCAG
rnacentral:piRNA from 1 species